GACAUCACUGCCCCCCUACCUCUCCUGAAGACCACAGCCCCAACGCCAACCCGCUACACUCUCCUUUCCCUAGAUGCAGGCCACAGACAGACCCAGCGGCAGGCCUCUGGCCAGCCAGUGAUUCUGAGUCAGGGACAUCACUGCCCAACUAACUCUCCUUAAGAAUCCAGCCCUAGCGCAUACCUGCUAGGAUCCCCCUUCCCCAGCUGCAGGCCACAGACAGACCUGGCCUGUCCCCAGCUACAGGCAACAUACAGACCCAGAGGCCUGUCAGUGAUUCUGAGGCAGGGACAUCACUGCCCACCUACCUCUCCUGCAGACUCCACCUGAGCGCCCACCUGCUAGUCUGUCCUGUCCCUGGCUGCAGGCCACAGAGAGACCCAGUGGCAGGCCUCUGGACAGACAGUGAUUCCGAGGGAGGGACAUCACUGCCCACCUAUCUCUCCUGCAGACCCCAGCACCAGCAUCCACCCGCUAGAUGCAGGCCACAUACAGACCCAGCGCCAGGCCU